UGGUCGGUGACACACCGUCUUCUUUUCCCUUCCCUGUUCCAUUCCAGGUGAGUUUAGUAAUUAGUAUAGAUGAGAAAAACACUGCUGGAAUGGAGGAGAGAUUCAGUUGAUUCAUCCUUCUAAUCUUCUGCAAAUGUUCUUCACAUUAGGUGCAUGCGUGCGUUCGAACCACCACUUUUCCCCAUAAUCACGCUCCCAAAAAGGAUACCGAUGGGAGUAACGUUCAAGUCAUCAGUCAACAUCGGAUUGAAAACAGGGUACUCUGUUUUGGUCACCGUAGCAGCCGGUUUCGUCGGAAUCCACAUCAGCGCCGCCUUGAGAUGCCGUGGUGACUACGUUUUAGGGUUAGACAAUUUUAACAGUUAUUACGAUCCUACCCUCAAAAGGGCUCGUCAACAUGUGUGGAAAAAAGUGGGAUUUUCAUUGUGGAAGGGCACAUAAAGGACACCGGUUUGCUGAACAAACUCUUUGAGUAUGCAAAAAUGCAAAUCCACAGCCUGCAAUUGUUUGGGUAUCUUCUAGUUCUGUUUAUGGGUUGAAUACAGAAGUACCCUUUUCGGAA